AGGAAAAUUUGGGUUUCAAGGCUCAAAGUUUAAUUUGUCAAUGUGGUACCAGAAAUCUCGGCUAAGAAAGGACAAGACAAAGUCAACGGGAGUUAGCUCGAAAAUUACGGUUUGUAUUUCUAUAAUCCGAACCUAAUACUUAAUUGUUGAAUUUAUUUCUUAAUAUGUAUAUUAAGUGUUUUGAAGUAAGAAUUAUUGUGUUUUGCAAAUGAAAUGGAUUGAUAUAGUAUGUGAUGAAA